AGAACAGUAGUGGCACUCAUUGUUUUAGGUGCAAGUUCAGUCUCUAUCGAGCCAUCAAACUACAUCCUUUGCCUUCGGUAUCUAUGAUUUUAAGUCAGCCAUCGACAAUGACCCAUAUAGCACAACUUUUUACCAUUCUUCAAGCGAACUGAUUUUGUUGUUGGACCACAAGACGGACAUGCACAUGUACCACCUGUGCUCCAUCCAUAUAGGUAAGCUAAUGGUGGAAAAUCAUUUAUAGUCCACAAUAGUGCAGCUCGGAGAGGGAAUUCCUUUUUCGAAGAGGCAUCAAAUGUUUCAACUCCAUCC
rnacentral:lncRNA from 1 species